GAUUAGAAAGCGAAUAUUUGCAUUUAGUUUCGACCUAACCCUUAGGCUUCCUGCCUUCUAAUUU
rnacentral:tRNA from 1 species